GACGAACGCUGGCGGCGCGCUUAACACAUGCAAGUCGAGCGAGAACCAGUCCUUCGGGACUGGGGAAAGCGGCGAACGGGUGAGUAACACGUGAGUAAUCCACCCUCGGUACCGGAAUAGCCCGGGGAAGCCCGGAUUAAUGCCGGAUGGCCCAUUUCCCUUGCGGGGGAACUGGAAAAGAUAGCUUCGGCCUUCGACCGAGGACGAGCUCGCGGCGGAUUAGCUUGUUGGCGGGGUAACGGCCCACCAAGGCGACGAUCCGUAGCUGGUCUGAGAGGACGUUCAGCCACACUGGGACUGAGACACGGCCCAGACUCCUACGGGAGGCAGCAGUGGGGAAUCUUGCGCAAUGGGCGAAAGCCUGACGCAGCGACGCCGCGUGAGGGAAGAAGGCCUUCGGGUUGUAAACCUCUUUCAGGAGGGACGAAGCCACUCGGGUUCAUAGCCCAGAGGGUGACGGUACCUCCAGAAGAAGCCCCGGCUAACUACGUGCCAGCAGCCGCCGCAG
rnacentral:rRNA from 1 species